rnacentral:tRNA from 1 species
AGCCGAUGGUCGGAAUUGAACCGACGGCCUACUGAUUACGAAUCAGUUGCUCUACCCCUGAGCUACACCGGC